CAGAGAAAGAGAAAGGGAUUUAGCUUAGCAGCAAGGAAAGAAAAAAUAAUGUGAACACAGGAAAAUACCACAGGAGGAGCCCAAAUGAAAGCCAGGAGAAGACCCCACCAACUCUCAUUUGAAGUUACUCAGAAGAAAAAAAGAGAUACGAUAAUCCCUGCUAAAAAUCGCUGUUGUAAAAGGAGUACUAGGCUUUUGCCAGAAGAAAAGAAAAGGGUUCCUGCAAGAAGCAGCAUCCAUUACCUCUCAUCGGGGAACAGCCUGCACUUCUGGUCUGAUGUACCACAUGGGGAACAGCCCAUCUCAGCAAAAACUGGACACUGGGUUUUAAGCAGCAAAGCCGUCUGAAACACAAAGCCAUCAUCAUGUUUUAAAGUGCUUACUGUCAGUUA